GUCCCUGUGGAGCAAGGCAGCUCACUUCCCACCUGUUAUACUCGUAGGUAUCUGCUUUAAGUGCGUGAGAGCCGGUGGUUCGAGUCCACCCGGGGACA